ACGCGAGCCCGGUCCGGUUCCUGCGCGCCGCACACACCUGUCUGACAACCGCUCGCGACGUUUUGUAACC
rnacentral:sRNA from 1 species